GCCCUCGUAGCUCAGUGGAGAGAGCACGGCGUCCGAGCGUCGAGGUCGCUGGUUCAAUCCCAGCCGGGGGCA
rnacentral:tRNA from 1 species